UCAUUUAUGUUUACUAUGCGAUCUGUUAGCACAAUUCGUAUUAUGUCAGCACCUAUGAAAGCGUUCAAGUUCAAUGGCGAAAAAUCUUUUUUUUUUGUAAUUUAGAAAGCCUUGAAUGUUUGCAUGCAGCUGUCUAUUCAUUUUGUGUUAUUUCAUUCAGUUUUGUAUCUCAUAGAUAAUAUUAUGUUUCAUAAUAAUGGAAAUCGAAAAUGAUAUCGUGUUUUAUAAAUUAAUUCUAAUAAUUGUUUCUUUUAUAUUUAGAAUAAGACACUUAAGUAUACCUUUUCAAUUCGAAUUUAGCCUGCAUAUAGAGAAUAACAAUAAGGGGUUGGUUACCAGCAGCUGAGCAGGCCGCACCCCAGCAAACAGCAAAUGAAACUCCAGCGAACCCUCAACAGAACACGACACAGCCAUCAGACAAAGCAUCAGGUUAGUGGAAGACUGGAAUAAAAAUAGGUAUCUAAAAUGAAAAUGAAUAUUUUGGAGAUGUACAAAAUGUCAGAUGACAUUUAUACGGGCCAUUUCAAUUGGUUGAACGCGCUGAAGCCUGAAAAUAAUAAAUUUGAUCUUCAUUUCAAGAAAUUUAAAACAAAUGACGAUGCAAUAGAGAUGAAAUGGAGAUCAUAAAGUAAAAUCAAAUAGAAACACGGUGAAUGUAGUGCCAACGGAAA